UGGCGACACUUCCAUUGGACUCUUUUUAUGUCCAUGCUCCGUUGUAGCGUUUUUUGCCGCCUACUUCCGGGGUAUGGAGCCUCGCAUAGUUCCAAAACAUCCAUUUACGGCGGAGAUCAUUUCAUUUCCAUUGCCGUCGAGUAACUUCUGAGGUGGUGGCUGCUGGUGCUGGUGGUGGCGGGUGCUGAUGGUGUAUGCGGCUGAUGGUGUAUGCGGCUGAUGGUGUAUGCGGCUGAUGGUGUGUGCGGCUGAUGGUGUAUGCGGCUGAUGUUUCGCCUGACGCAUAUUUGGGGAUGAAGACCACUGUAUUUCACCAUGUUUUGACAUGAAUGUCUUUCUUGGAGGAAUAGGAAUAGCAAUUCCCUCAUCUGGUUCAAAAUCAGAUUCAUUAGAAUCUGAAUUUAGGUCAAGAUCGUCUUCGUCAGACACAUCCUCCUCUAUUUCACUGUCAUGAUCAGUGAUGAAGUCCCGAGCCUCCUGGACUGUCAUCCAUUUGCUUC
ensembl:lncRNA